GGAUGGUAAAUCAUAGAACAGACUAUAGUGUUGAUCGCCACUAGUAUUGGAUGAUGCACCCUGAGAAGGGACUGGUGCACUAGUAUCCUGAGUUUGAGGAUGAACAUCUCGGCUUCCCUACUUAGCAUACAGGUACUUUUUGAUCUGGUGACCCAUCUUACAACAUUCAUAACAACCUUUCUGUCCCGACAAAUACUCACUAGGAUUAUUCUUACCACUCUUAGAAAA
rnacentral:lncRNA from 1 species